rnacentral:rRNA from 1 species
GACGAACGCUGGCGGCGUGCCUAACACAUGCAAGUUGAGCGACGAACCCGGGCUUGCCCUGGCGCAAAUCAGUGAACGGUUGAGUAACACGUUUGUAACCUACCCCACUAACCGGGACAACCCGUGGAAACUCGUGCUAUUACCGGACGUACUCUCUGUACUUCUUUUCAGUGCGUACAGUAAGCUUCCUCCUCCGUAUCGUAAGGGGCUCGCGGUCCAUUAGUUUGUUGGUGAUGUAACGGCUCACCAAGCCCGCCAUGGGUAGCUGGUCUGACAGGACGAUCAGACACAUGGGGAGUGAGAAAGGGCAGAGACACCGAGAGGAGGAAGCAGUGGGGAAUCUUGCGCAAGGCGGGAAAGCGGGACGCAGCAAAGCCGCGUGGGGGAAGAAGGACUUAGGGUUGUAAACCCAUUACAGGAGGGACGAAGGUUAGGCGGUGAAUAGCCGACCGGAAUGACGGUACCGCGACAAGAAGCCCCGGCUAACUACGUG